rnacentral:rRNA from 1 species
GAUGAACGCUGGCGGCGUGCUUAAUACAUGCAAGUCGAGCGAACGGACGCGUCGCUUGACUCGCUGAUGUAAGCGGCGGAUGGGAGAGUAAUAAGUGGCUAACCUACCUAUAAGACUGGGAUAACAUCGGGACAACGUCCCUAAUACAGGACACUAUUUUUAACCGCAUGGUUCAAAAGUGAAAGAUGGUCUUGCUGUCCCCUAUCGAUCGAUUCGCGCUGCGUUAGCUAGGUGGUAAGGUCAAGGAUUAGCAAGGCAGCUAUGCAUAGCCGAACUGGGAGGGUGGUCGGCGACACUGGAACGGGAACACGGACCAGACUCCUACGAGAGGCAGCAGUAGGGAAUCUUCCGCAGUGGUCGGGAGCCUGGCAGAGCGACGCCGCGUGAGUGAUGGAGGUCUUCGGAGCGUGAAACUCGGUUAUGAGUGGAGAACAUAUGUGAAAGGAACUGAGCACAUCUUGACGGUACCUAGUCAGAAAGCCACGGCUAACUACGUG